CUAUGUCAGCUGAAGGUUGUUUGGUUAGUUAUUGGCUGGGUUACCUAGCUCUUUUCCACACGGUUUCUCAUCUUCCUUCAAGCUAGCCUGGCUUUGUGCUUACAGAGGAGCUGAGAGGAGAGAGAGAGAGAAUCACAGAGAAAGAGAAAGAGAGAGAGAUUGCAUAAGUGCAAGGACCUUUUAAGGCCUGUGUUUAGAAGUAGAAUGCUGUCAGUUCUACCAUCUUCUACGGACCGUGUUGAUUCACUGCCUCUCCUACUAUUUACAACAAAGUUCUUAAAAAGUGUGCGUUGAUGAGCAAGUAUAUCCUGCUUAGACAUAAAAUGACCUGGAAAUGGAAAUUUACUGUAGGAGUGCUGAAGCAUGACUGCAACAGACUUGCAGUUGUGCAGGAGAUCCAUUCAGCCGCACAGAGAUGACCGGAAAAAUGGCUGGCGCAGGGGAGUCCCGGGAUCUGUGCCAAAUGCGAGGCUGCCCUUGCCACUAAGGACUUCUAACAUUGCAACUAUCAAGAUGAUGAUGAACUCAUCAACAGAUGGAGAGAGACUGCUGUAUUUUGAAGGACUCUGGAUAAUAAAUAGACCAUUUGACCAUAAUGCUGUGAAAAAGCCCAACCUAAUCUACUCAAUAUGAAAGUCUCUGCAGAAAGAAGAAUGGAGGUACUCUGGUGACAGCUAGUACCAUGUUCCAAAGGCCAUCUUCAGCCUGCAGAUUCAGGGAAGACAUCAGAUGAUGGUAGCCACAUGAGUGAGUUCAGACAAGAACAGCAGAAGAAAGUUCUAACCAACUCACAGAAUUUUAGAAAAUAGAUUGGCAUUUUAAGCCAUCAAGUUUUACAGUAGUUGUUAUGCGACCAUAGAUAACUGAAAAUAUACAUGCAAAUAUAAUUUAUUUAUCCAUUUACUACAUUUGGGCUGUUUCCAGUUCUGGGCUAUUACAAAUAGUUCUACUAUCAUCUUUAGGACACAUAUGUGUGCAUUUCUGUUAGAUAUAUAUCUAGAAGAGGAAUUGCAAGGUCAGUAUUAAUAAAUAUUGGUAAAGGGUUAUAUUUCCAUAGGUAAUAUAAUAGAGACUAGUUGCUCCACGCCCUUCCUAAUCCUUGGUAAUGUCUGUUAUUUUCAUUUGAAUCAUUCUGGCAUGUCGGUACUAUUAUCUCAGUGUAGAUUUGACUUACCAUAUUUUCAUUUUUGUGUAAAGGUACCUUAAAAAUGAACGUAAAUAUGCAGAGAUCCCAAAAUACUUCACCCAUAUGUUUUCUCUAAGAAGCUUACCUGAAGAAGGAAUCAUUCAUGCAUGUGUGCAGACACCUACAAACACACAUGCACACAUACAAAGCAAUAUUCUGUUUUGUUUAAUGAUCCACACAUUGUAUUCACUUUUGCUCAAUAUUGAUAUUUCUCUGUUCUCUUUUUAUUUGUAUAUUUCUGGUUGUCCUUUGUCUACCCUUUUAUUUUCAACCUAUGAAUUACAUUGUUUUAGAUGUCAUCUCGUAUGCAGUAUAUGAAUAUGAGAGCAUUAUUUAUCAAAACUUAUGGGAUUUUAGGAAAGAUAUACUCAGAGGACAUAUUUAUAACUUUAGGUACUUUCAAUAUAUAAAAAAGAAAUAAAAACAAUAAAUGAAGCACUCCUUUGAGAGGUUAUAAAAAGAACAAAAUAAAUCUAAGAAAGCAGAAGUAAACAGUCAAAGAUAAAUGCAGAAGUCAAUGAAUUAAACUAAGGAAAGUAGGAGAAAGUAUUAAGUUAAAAGAGAAUUGACUUUUCAGGGAAAUCCAAAUUAAAACAAUGAGGUACCAUCUCAUGCCUGUUAGAAUGACUAUUAUCAAAAAGUCACAAGAUAAUAAGUGUUUCCCAAGAUGUGGAGAAAACAGAACUCUUGCACACGGUUUAAGGGGAUGUAAAUUGGUACAGCCAGCAUGGAAAAGAAUAUAGAGUUUCCUCAAAAAAGUAAUAAUAGGACUACCAUAUGAUCCAGCAACCCCACUUUUGGGUAUAUAUCCAAAGGAAAUGAAAUAAGUGUGUUGAAAAUUAUCCAUAAUCUCAUAUUCAUUGCAGCAUUAUUCACAAGAGCCAAGAUAUAGAAUCGACCUAAGCAUCCAUCAGCGAAUGACUAGAUAAAGAACAUGUAUAGAUACACAUUGAAAUACUAUACUGCUUACAAAGAAAGAAAUCCUGUCAUUGACGACAACAUAAAUGAACCUGGAGGACACUAUGUUAAGUGAAAUAAGUCACACAGAGAAAGACAGAUUCUGCAUGAUCUUACUUAUAUGUGGAAUCUAAUAAAGUUGAUCUCAUAGAAGUAGAAAAUAGAAUGGUGGUUGCCAGCGGUUGGCUGAUAGAACGAAGAGGAAUGGGGGAAAUGUUGGUCAAAAGAUACAAAAUUUUAGUUAGAGAAGAGGAAAAAGUUCAAAAGAUCUAUUGCACAACAUGGUGACUAUAACAAUAUAUUCUUGAAAAUUGUUACAAGUAGAUUUUAAAUGUUCUUGCCACAAAAAUAACUAUGUGAGGUAAUGCAGAUGUUAGAUGAAGAAUAGCUCAAUUAAGCUACUUCAUAAUGUUUAUAUAUUUCAAAACAUUAUGUUGUACAUGAUAAAUGUGCAAAAUUGUAUUUGUCAAUUUAAAAUAAAAUGUUUAAAAAGAAAUUUAUGAAGGAGGGUUGUUAAACAAAAAAGGUAGAUUGAUAAAAAGUAAAAUUCUAGUUACAGAUUUGGUCUAAAAAACUUAAAAUUAUAAAUAAGCAAUUAGCUAGAUUAAACAACAGUAGAAGAAAAAAAGUCCCAUAAUUAGACAAACGUAGCAAUAAGUAAAAACAAAGUAACCAUAGAUAAUGAGGAAAUUAGGUAUAUAAGAUUAAUUUUUCAAUAGUAUAACUUUGAAUAUAUUAGUGAAAUAUACAAAGAAAUGAAAAAAUAAAAAUAGCAAGAUUGGCUCAAGAAAAGAUAGAAAUGACAAAUAUAUUAAUAAAUAUAAACAAUUGGGAAAAUUGUCCAAAACUGUACCUUAGAAACUCUGGACUGAGAUAAUUUUAUGAAUGAUCCAUUUUAAAUUUUUAAUAAGAAAUAACUCAGAUAUUAUUUAAACGUUUUGAAAGCAUCGAAGAAUAAGAAAACCUUCUGACCUGUUUUGAAAAACCAUCUUAAUAUUGCUACUUAUGCUUGAAUGUGAUCAUGCAAAAAAGAAAGCUACUGCCCAAUUUCAAUCUCACAUGGCAAUAUUGUUGUAAAAAAAUUUGUUAUAAAAAAUUUUAGGAUAUUAUCAAACAAAAUGCAUAUUAGAAUAUAUACUAGUAUAUAUUCUAAUAUAAAUAUUUUAUAUUAGUAUUAACAAUAGACCCCUAGUGGUAUUUUCUUUAAAAUCAGGGAAAAGACAAGAA
rnacentral:lncRNA from 10 species